CAUUCAGGAGGUCUAUCUGGCCAUUUUGGAAGAGACAAAACAAUUGCCCAAGUAGUGAGCAGAUAUUACUUGUAAUAACCUGAAUUUUUCUUAAUUUAAAUAGGGUUGUUCCCAAAUUUAAUUAAACAUACAAUCAAGAUCCAUAUGCCCGAAUGGGCGUACACAACAAAAUCAAAGUACUAGCGGAAACCAAAUAGACUCUUUAUUUAACUAAUAUCCUAGGAUCCCAUUCAUGUGUGAAACCCUCUGUCCAGUCCAUUCCAAGCUGUCCCUUAUUCUGCAAUAAAUUGUCAUUUACAUGGGUAAGUUUCAAAAACUUAGUACGUGAAUAUAUAAUCAAUCUUAUAGUUCAUGAAUUUCUUUUAGGGCAUAUCAGCCCUCCUUUGUUACCAAUAAAGGUUCUUACGAACUCCCCCUUUUUCCUUUACAUGGGUCAUCGAACAAACCCUCGCCAUGCCGUCAAACCCCGUCAGGUCAUGUAGCCUCGUCAGGCCCGUUAAGUUCCGUUUAUUUCAUGUGUCGUCAAAUCCCUAAGGAUCCGUAAUUUCGUAUGAUUGGGCAUGAGUGAGGAGAGAUUGAGUGUUCCACUCAAUUCAAAUCUUGGUCCGUAACCUUGAUGGAUCUUCGGUGAAUAGAGAGGGGGCUAGAUUGAGUGUCACCCCGGGGACUUGCUCGAUCUUCUCCUUUCGUCGUUCACCUCUAAAUCCCUAACUUCAAGGUUUGGGUUCCUUUAGGAUUUAACCCGAUGGUGGAUGGGAAUAGUUCGGGUCGAGUACCAUUCCAAGAACUGGCUCGACCCGCCCCUUUCGUUGUCCAUUCCUAAAUUCAUUCGAAUUUAGGGUUAGGGUUCCUUAGAUAUCGUUGAUUUCCCUUUUACACUUUUCGUUAUUAGAUCCAAAGAAAACAUAACGUUGAAAUAAAAUCCGAUAUGUCAUUUAAAUCCUCGAGUAAUGAAACAGUUUGCAUUAGUAAAAAUCAAACUUUUAAAUCGACUAGGUUUUAGUUUAAUUUACCUCUCGUUCGUUAACUCAAACUUUGAAAACGAAACGCAGACCUUUAAAUUUACUCGACCACCACCCUGGAAUAGGCGGUAGGUCUAUAGAGUUGAGGCUUAACCUCAACAACCAACCCAAUUAUUCAGACCCAUCUCUUGAUUUUAUUGAUUAAAAUCAACCAUGUGGGUGUCUCAUUUGGGUGUCUAAGGCUUAAGUGUGAGCUUCUAGCCCUAGGGCAGCGCAAAUCCUGAACUUGGAGACCUUGUGGAGCCCAGUCCACGAUUAUAGUCCUGUGUUCAUAAGGAUUUUUUUGCUGUCCAGUAAACUAAUUUAAAGAACAAAAAUCAGAAACCAAAACUCCAGAGAUUAUCUAGCAAUGAUACUGAAAUAUCAGGCAGAAAAUCAGAAGAAGAAGAAGAAAAAGAAAAACAGAAAACAGGAAAAACAGAAAACGGAAAAAAAAAACAAAAAAAAAAACAGAAAACAGAAAACAAACCGAAGAAAGAAAAGAAAAAAACUUUAACUUCCCUUGAACCAAAAAAAAAACAAUCGAACAACAACUUUGUUAUACGAAAACAGGCCUCAAAUCCUCCAAUGGAGAUACAAUCCGUAAACCAAAAAUCAUUCAUAUCCUUACAUAUUUUCAUUUCAUUUUUAAUAACAAUACUUCAUACUAAAAUUAUUCUAGUAGAAGGAUUGAAUAUAUCCACGUACCUUGAUCUCCUCUUAGUUUUUCUUCUAACACUUGCAAGCCCUAGCUGAGUCCUUCCCUUCCUCUUCCUUCAAAUUUCCGUCCGCCCCUUUUCUAUUUUUAACACCUCCUAUUUAAAGAUUUAAC
rnacentral:lncRNA from 1 species